rnacentral:rRNA from 1 species
GUCGACCGUACUGCUCGUGACGUGUUCCAGGGACGACGGACGACUGACAGUUACCGAGGGAAGGGACGACGUCCAGCACCAACUUUAUCUGGGUGUUCUGUCUUGAGUCGAGGCCUAAUCAGGAAGGCUUCGAUUCAAUAAAAUGUAGUCAAAUGGGGGAAAAUCGUCGACGGUAAUAAAAGCCAUGAGGAAAGCUCGUAACAACUUUCUUUAGUCGUCGACGGUAAUAAAAUGUAGUCAAAUGGGGGAAAGUCGUCGAUGGUAAUAAAAGACCAUGAGGAAAGCUCGUAACAAGUUUCUUUAUUCGUCGACAGUAAUAAAAAUGUAGUCAAAUGGUGGAGAAUGAUCGUUCCUUGUUGAGUAAAGAGAGCGAUGAGGA